rnacentral:misc_RNA from 1 species
GUAGGUGAACCUGCGGAAGGAUCAUUAAUAAAUCGUCCCAUAAAUUUUACCAUUUCCCCUCUUUUCCUUCUCCACACACUCUCACUUGCCCUCCUUGGGGUGAUCGUUGGUGAUUUUGGGGAGGGAAUUGGUGUGGGAGAUCAUCAACUUUGCCUCUUUCAUACUUUUGGGAAACGUGGUAGGGGGAGGGUGGAAGUAGUAGCCUUUACACUGGCCAUUGAUUGGGGUGCUGAAGAGUUGGGGGCAAAAG